AUUGAGAGAAUUUGGAUAGCCCUGUCCCCUUCUCUAUGACAUCACAUCCUACUCUACAAAGGAAGUAAAAGUGCCAAGAAUUACAUCAUGAAGUGGAUGAGAGGCAGGAAGGAAAUGAUGAAGCCACACAAAACACCAGAAGCCACCCUCAAUUCCUGCAAGACAGAGAACAGAGAGAAGGAGAGGUUCCUGGGAAAGGAGAAAUGUUGUCAAAUGAAUAAACAGCAAAUGGCAGCAAUAAGACUGUGAUGUCCAUAAAUUCCUACAUGAAAUAAGGAAUCAUUAUCUGAUGCUGACCUAAUCUCAAUAUUCAGAAAAUGAGUGAAGAUUCAUUCCAUGGAGAAGAAACAUUUGUUCUCUUCGAUUCUUUAGUAUCAAGUAAUGAAAACAUUCAGAAACAGCUUCAGACCACUCACUGGUGCACCCCCCAUCACUGUACAAAUACAUAUCGUACAACUCUACAAGUCUAAAAGCCACAGUACACCAAGAAAAUAGUUCAUUUCUGGCAUCUAAGAAAUCAUCUGUUACCCAUGAAUUUGUCAAAAAAAAUAGAAAAACUUAAUGUCGGCAGGAAAUAAAAAAUUA